UUGUUUCUUCUCCUCUUAGUUGAGCUAGGUGGCUAGCUUGCAGACGAUCUUUUCAUUCGCCGAACAAGCUUCAACAUCCUGGCCCUUCUCCAUUGGAAGGAUUUGCGUAGUGGUGUGAUUUUUUUUUUCUCAGUCGGUUUCUGUGGUGGAAGAGCCCCACAGCCAGAACAGACGGCAGCUUGUUUGCCCCGCCUUCUUUGUUCUGAUUGGCUCUGAUGGUGUACGCCUACACAGAACUCUACGUUCUACCGGACAAGGAAAGUGCCAAUCUUGAUAGAACGACCUGUUGAUUGGAUGACGUCUUCUGCGGGAGUUUCACACGAAUCUACCUUUUUUCCCCCCUUUCUUUUUCAAUCUUACGAGAGUACACCGGCCUUGCGCGGAUAGGCGGGUAGUCGGAAGAGACGCAGUAUGUCAGUUAUGCACACUGAAUGUUACCGUACAUCCGUCCUCACAGUCUUUAAGCCUGUCCAGCUGGUGCUGCUGGAGCAUUUUUCUUACAUUCUUCACACACAUGGUGGCAGGGUCUAUGAGGAUAAUGUUUGGGUGGACCAGCACAAUGACACAAUUUCCUCUGGGAUUAAUAAAGUAAUUUGAUUCCGAAUGACUUUUGAAUGCUUGCACUGUAACUCUGGUGGUCAAUAAACAAGACAGAAGAGCAAUUACUCAGAGAAUAUUAAAAAAAUAAAGUAAAAUGAAAUAAAAACAAAUGGACAAUCAAAUAUACAACGAAAAACCACAAAGUAAGUCUUUUUCCGAUUAUCAGCACUCCUCUUCCCAGAAUCUGCGAAUAUUACCACACAACAUGAUAUUACACAAACAGAAAU